UGCGGGAUAGAGCAGUCUGGUAGCUCGCGAGGCUCAUAACCUUGAGGCCGCAGGUUCAAAUCCUGCUCCCGCUA
rnacentral:tRNA from 1 species